AGAGUUUGAUCAUGGCUCAGAACGAACGCUGGCGGCAGGCCUAACACAUGCAAGUCGAGCGCGCCCUUCGGGGUGAGCGGCGGACGGGUUAGUAACGCGUGGGAACGUACCCUUUGGUAGGGAAUAGCCACUGGAAACGGUGAGUAAUACCCUAUGAGCCCUUCGGGGGAAAGAUUUAUCGCCAAAGGAUCGGCCCGCGUUAGAUUAGGUAGUUGGUGGGGUAAUGGCCUACCAAGCCUACGAUCUAUAGCUGGUUUUAGAGGAUGAUCAGCAACACUGGGACUGAGACACGGCCCAGACUCCUACGGGAGGCAGCAGUGGGGAAUCUUGGACAAUGGGGGCAACCCUGAAUCCAGCCAUGCCGCGUGAGUGAAGAAGGCCUUAGGGUCGUAAAGCUCUUUCGCCUGUGAAGAUAAUGACGGUAGCAGGUAAAGAAACCCCGGCUAACUCCGUGCCAGCAGCCGC
rnacentral:rRNA from 1 species